rnacentral:rRNA from 1 species
UACGGGGGGAGCAAGCGUUGUUCGGAUUUACUGGGCGUAAAGGGCGCGUAGGCGGCCACCGCAAGUCGACUGUGAAAUCUCCGGGCUUAACCUGGGAACUGCACUUGAAACUACGAUGCUGGAGUAUGGCAGAGGGAGGUGGAAUUCCACGUGUAGCGGUGAAAUGCGUAGAGAUGUGGAGGAACACCGAUGGCGAAGGCAGCCUCCUGGGCCAAUACUGACGCUCAUGCACGAAAGCGUGGGGAGCAAACAGG